GUGCGGCCACCGCUAUWKGMAUUCGAUUAAGACAUGCGAGUCGAGAGUCGUAAUGGACUCGGCGGACUGCUCAGUAACACGUGGAUAACGUGCCCUUAAGAGGAGGAUAAUCUCGGGAAAUUGAGGAUAAUACUCCAUAGAUCAUGGGAUCUGGAAUGACCCAUGGUUCAAAGUUCCGGCGCUUAAGGAUCGGUCUGCGGCCUAUCAGGUAGUAGUAGGUGUAAUGUACCUACUAGCCUACGACGGGUAUGGGCCUUGAGAGAGGGAGCCCAGAGUUGGAUUCUGAGACACGAAUCCAGGCCCUACGGGGCGCAGCAGUCGCGAAAACUUCACAAUGGGGGCAACCCCGAUGAGGGAAUUCCUAGUGCUAGCACAUUUGUGUUAGCUUUUCUUUAGCUUAGAAAACUAGAGGAAUAAGGGCUGGGUAAGACGGGUGCCAGCCGCCGCGGUAAUACCUGCAGCCCAAGUGGUGGUCGAUUUUAUUGAGUCUAAAACGUUCGUAGCCGGUUCGGUAAAUCUUUGGGUAAAUCGGGGGGCUUAACCUCCCGACUUCCGAGGAGACUGCCGAACUUGGGACCGGGAGAGGCUAGAGGUACUUCUGGGGUAGGGGUAAAAUCCUGUAAUCCUAGAAGGACCACCGGUGGCGAAGGCGUCUAGCUAGAACGGAUCCGACGGUGAGGGACGAAGCCCUGGGUCGCAAACGGGAUUAGAUACCCCGGUAGUCCAGGGUGUAAACGCUGCAGACUUGGUGUUGGAGGCCCUUUGGGGGCAUUCAGUGCCGGAGAGAAGUUGUUAAGUCUGCUACUUGGGGAGUACGUCCGCAAGGAUGAAACUUAAAGGAAUUGGCGGGGKAGCMCCGCAACGGGAGGAGCGUGCGGUUAU
rnacentral:rRNA from 1 species